GAGGGCACGGCUCAGCGGUGGAGCACAUGCUUGGCAUGCAUGAGGUCCUAGGUUCAAUCCCCAAUACCUCUG
rnacentral:tRNA from 1 species